UACGUAGGGUGCAAGCGUUGUCCGGAAUUAUUGGGCGUAAAGAGCUCGUAGGCGGUUCGUCGCGUCGGCUGUGAAAACCCGGAGCUCAACUCCGGGCCUGCAGUCGAUACGGGCGGACUUGAGUGUUGCAGGGGAGACUGGAAUUCCUGGUGUAGCGGUGAAAUGCGCAGAUAUCAGGAGGAACACCCGUAGCGAAGGCGGUUCUCUGGGCCUGUACUGACGCUGAGGAGCGAAAGCGUGGGGAGCGAACAGG
rnacentral:rRNA from 1 species